rnacentral:rRNA from 1 species
GACAGAGGGGGCAAGCGUUGCUCGGAAUCACUGGGCGUAAAGGGCGCGUAGGCGGGAUGGCAAGUCGGUCGUGAAAUCCUUCGGCUCAACCGAAGAACGUCGGCCGAUACUGCCGUUCUUGAGGGAUGCAGAGGAGAUUGGAAUUCCCGGUGUAGCGGUGAAAUGCGUAGAUAUCAGGAGGAACACCUGCGGUGUAGACGGCUUACUGGACCAUGACUGACACUGAAACUCGAAAGUGUGGGGAGCAAACAGG